rnacentral:rRNA from 1 species
ACGAACGCUGGCGGCGUGCUUAACACAUGCAAGUCGAACGGGUCUGCCCUGUUUUUUGCGGGGUGGGUCAGUGGCGAACGGGUGAGUAACACGUGAGUAACCUGCCCCUCACUUCUGGAUAACCGCUUGAAAGGGUGGCUAAUACGGGGUGUUCUGGCUGUGCCGCAUGGUGUGGCUGGGAAAGAUUCACUUUUGUGGUGUUUUGGUGGGGGAUGGGCUCGCGGCCUAUCAGCUUGUUGGUGGGGUGAUGGCCUGCCAAGGCUUUGACGGGUAGCCGGCCUGGGAGGGUGGCCGUUAACACGGGGAUUGGGAUCCGGCCCGGACUCCGGGGGAGGCAGCAGUGGGGGGUAGUGCACAAUGGGCGGAAGCCUGAUGCAGCGACGUCGCGUGAGGGAUGGAGGCCUUCGGGUUGUGAACCCCUUUCGCCGGUGAAGAAGGUCCUGCACUUUGUGGUGGGGUUGACGGUAGCCGGGUUAUGAAGCGCCGGCUAACUACGUG